rnacentral:rRNA from 1 species
GUGGCGAACGGGUGAGUAACACGUGAGCAACCUGCCCUGGACUCUGGGAUAAGCGCUGGAAACGGUGUCUAAUACCGGAUAUGAGCCACGGCCGCAUGGUCGGUGGUUGGAAAGAUUUUUUGGUCUGGGAUGGGCUCGCGGCCUAUCAGCUUGUUGGUGAGGUAAUGGCUCACCAAGGCGUCGACGGGUAGCCGGCCUGAGAGGGUGACCGGCCACACUGGGACUGAGACACGGCCCAGACUCCUACGGGAGGCAGCAGUGGGGAAUAUUGCACAAUGGGCGGAAGCCUGAUGCAGCAACGCCGCGUGAGGGAUGACGGCCUUCGGGUUGUAAACCUCUUUUAGCAGGGAAGAAGCGUGAGUGACGGUACCUGCAGAAAAAGCGCCGGCUAACUACGUGCCAGCAGCCGCGGUAAUACGUAGGGCGCAAGCGUUAUCCGGAAUUAUUGGGCGUAAAGAGCUCGUAGGCGGUUUGUCGCGUCUGCUGUGAAAUCCCGAGGCUCAACUUCGGGCUUGCAGUGGGUACGGGCAGACUAGAGUGCGGUAGGGGAGAUUGGAAUUCCUGGUGUAGCGGUGGAAUGCGCAGAUAUCAGGAGGAACACCGAUGGCGAA